CGGCCGCCGCAGCGUCCGCGGCGACGUCACGGUCCUCGCGGCCUCGCAGCCAGCGCUCGCUCGGGCCGGCCGCCGAAUGCCCGUGGACGCGCAUCUCCUCCCCGAGUUCCUGCUUCCUGGGCCAGCCAAAGCCGCAGGGAACAGCAUGGGCUCUUGCCUGCUGGGAGUGCCCCAAAGAAGGAGCAGGGUACACGACUGAAGAGGUCCCUGGAUCAAGGAGUGAUACAGAAUAUGGCCGUUCCACCUAAAUUUCACAAGCAUGCCAAGAGGUUGGCUGUUGAAGCAGAAAAACGCAAUGGGAAGGAGAGCAGUGUGCGCAAGCAUGAGGCCAGGCCCCACAAAACCCCACGGGAGGGAAGUUCUCAUGGCACUCUGAUGAGCAACAAGCCACGCGAACAUGCCAUUCUGUCCUAUACUCCAGUGACUUGGCAGCAGCAAUCUGUGAUUUCUUUUCCUGCUGAGCAGCACCAUUCCUUUGUCAGGCCCAAAAGAUACUCAAGUGUGAUCGUGCAAAACCGUGCCAUCUCUGGGCCUCUUCUACUGCAGCCACAGGUCCCUAAUGUCAACAAGCAGGAUUCUGUUGCUGCUGCCUUAGAGUGGCAGAGGAAGCUGGAGGCUGCUGAGGCUCUGUUGGCUCUGAGGGACACUCCUCUGCCUCCUCCUAACUUUGCCUCUCUACAACCGCUUGGCAACAUGCCAAAUAGCUAUCUUCCUGAACAUGGACCACAAGGUUCUGAUGGAGAGAAGGGGCUGCAGCCUCGUAGCCGCCACCUACCACGCUCAAGGGCUGCCAACUCCGUCUCUCUUACUGGAAGUCUGGAGUGCAUGUCCUUCUUCA
rnacentral:lncRNA from 14 species